GCUAACCCACUCUUGGGAUCGGGUAAGAGGGGAAGAGGUGGCAUCGACAGCGGCGGUACCAGGGCAGGAGGAGAGGAGGGGUAUGUAGAGGGUCGCGGCUCAAGCGACGGAAUCGACGAGAGGGGUGAUCGGUCGUACGGCAGCUGCCGGUUGGCCCGGCGGCGUGCGUCCUUCCUUCUCGUCGUCGUCGGCCCUGCUCCCGCCCCUACCUCUUGCGCCGCAGGUAGAUCGCCUCGGAAGCAGGUAGGGAGUGGGGACUACGGCGGCAGGAAGGAGGAGGGGUAGCCCCGAUCCGUCUCCUCCUCCUCGCGGCCGGUGCUCGUGCUGCUCCUCCGCCGGCCGUAGUGACACGCAGCGGGCUGGUUCCAGAAGAGGGUGAUGAGACCCAGCGCGCGGCGGAGACAGCGGCUGUCCUCCCUCGGCGCCGUCGGCGGUGCGUAGGGCCGCUGGUCCCGGGGGGGCCGCACCAAGGGAGUUGCCUCCCUACGAAGGAGGCAGGUGACGGACGAGGCACGGCUGUGGUAGUCAUCGCCGCCGCCAGUCCGACUACGCCUGAGGCGCGGUGGUGGCUGCCGAAGCGGUGCCUGGCGUAGCAGAGGCUGGUACCGCUUUUCCGCGGGUAGCAGCAGAUGUCGCCGUGGGAGAAGCCGGGACUGGAUCCACGCACUCGAGUGGUGGCAGGCGGAGCUCCAGUACAAAGGGAGAGGGAGCUCAAGUUGCGCACACACUGGCACACUACCUAACGUAAUCUGCACAACGUCAGUGGCCCUACGAGUAACGCGAGCAACCUAAGCCCGAGAUGUUCGAAGCUAAGGGUUCACAGUACUUUACAUAGUUUUAGCCAGAAGGUCUCUAGUAUGACAACCAUCGAGAAAGGGUCAUGUAUGGAGUAGGCCACGGAAACGACCCGUGACGGAAACUCCCCAAGCGGCAGUAUUACAGGCAACGACAGAACACCGAAAUACGUAAGAAGGACUGCCAACCGUCCCGCAUAUUCUUACGACGAGGUGGACUGGUAGGGUUAUGACGUCCUCACUAGCCAUGUCGGUUACGUAGCGAUGAUCUCAUGACCGGGAAAACCACAAUCAUACCGACCUAAUAAACGAAGAAAGUACUACUUCUUUACCGGUAUCGGUACCCUCAAAGGAGAACCGCUACUAUCGGCCAAGCACGACAUGCCGAACCAACUCGAGUUCCAGUUACCUAUGCCGUUAACAGUCGAUAAAACACAAAGACCAAGAUAUAUAUAUGACCAACCUACAACUGUUUGUUAAAGGUACGGAAGAAAAAGAUACCCACAUACGAGUCGGUCCCAAUCUUCGUCACCCAGUAGGAGCUGGAGUGCGGCGGGUAGAUCUGUCUUCUUCUACCCACGACGUCCACUGCUCCGACUGCGCGGUAGCAGGACAGAAGACACUCCCCUAGGUAGUACUCCUUGGUCGCCUGCGCUAUGCCCAUGGGCUAGGAAUGACGCCUUAGUGGAGAAGAACACCUACCAACGACUUGUCGUCGUCAAGGUAGAGGUAGGGGUUGCGUAGGAACGGAGUAGAACUAGACGUUACUUGGUCUCGAGUAUCUUUCUCUAAACUACACUACUAACUCCACCUUCCGAUGGAAUUGGAUACCUAGUUUCUAACUAGUUCUUUCUGUUUAACAGAGUACGAAGUUCAUGGUUCUUCUAUUAAAGAACGUUCUAUUCCUUUUUACCAUUCGAAGAGGUAAACAUAUGGGUACGAAUAAAAAGCAUCUUUACUACCAACACAUACAAUAGUACAUGAGGGAGGCAUUUUUUUAUCGGUAUCUAAUCAAAAUGAGGUACCGAUACCAAAGUUGCCACUUUAUUUGUACCAUAAAAUGACUUUUUCGUACCAUAAAAUGGGACCUCAAGAUUUGGGAUGUUUAAUCGCACCAAUACCACACAAUCCAGUUAGUUAUCGCCUUUCAAAUCGGACCUCGAGAUGAAUCAUCUUUUUAUGUUUUGAUAAUAAUAAUUAACUGUUUUAGGGAAUAAGACGAACCAUACACGAACCGAGUACAUACAACUAAGAGAACCCGACGCGUCCCACAACAUAGGCCCUCAGUUUCAAUGAACGAAAGAAGGAAUGAACACGAAUAGGUCGGGGUUCUAUGUGAGUGUCCGACAAACUGGGACAAAGUUAAACGGAAGAAGAACUGGUUUAACUAACAACAAAGGGGAGGAUUAGAGGCACCUAUUCAUCUGGGGAAUGACGAUUUAAAUCAACGGAAGCGAACGGUAAAUUCCACAACACAGGGAACCGCUUACAUCACUACCUGACCAGAAACCGUGAAGAGUCAGCUGGUCCUAUUAGUAUGAGUUCAGACUAACAUGCUACCGAGGACACCUACGAGACCAACAACCUCUCUAAGACAGACAUCUCCUACAAAAAGUCGCGAACUAGUCGAUGCUACUUCUCGUUACGGAACUUUGUAAAGAAACACCAGAGACGUGUUAAAUAAAGUCACUCGUGGGUCAUUCCCUCUUGUGAUGAGUAUGGUAUAUAUAACCUGUGACUCAACCACGAGGUACCUCGUUCCCGUGGUUCUAAAUACGUGUUUAGGUUUGGUUUAAACCAGCUGCGGUGGCACCGUCACAAGAAGCCGUGAGCCCAGUUGUAUCAUCCAAAGAGGAACAGUAACUGUCGUAGCCAAUCGUAUCCCCGUCGCCAGCGCCAGUGCCAGUGGGCUCCUCGUGUCGGUGUGCCCCGACCAGGACGACGGUGGUCUCUUCUCGCCUCCUCCAGCUAUGUCCCAGCUCCUCCCCGUGCCCGCUCCAAGUACGGCGUGCCCCCGUGCGCCGCAGGUCGCUCUCUUCCGAAGAGGACAAGGGCACGGCGGUCCGUGGGGAGUGGCGGCGGGAUGAACAGGAGGCCAGCAGCCACGAGACAACCAAUGACCUAAAACGAAUAGACGGCCGUCUGGCGUGGCCUCCGGCGGCGGUAUAUCCCCGACUACUCCCGUAGCACUACUCCAACGGCGAAAACGGUAUCGUCUCUCCUAGGUCGGCCGUGCGACGCAGAGGGUAUUUGUACGGAUUAAAAUAUACGUCUCCUUACAUAGGUACUUGACCCUUUGGACACUUGAGAAACUAUGCGGAAAAUACACAACGAAAACCAGAACUAUCUCCCUCUAUGUAACUGUCCUUCACGAGUGAGCGAUUUUAACAAAGAUAGUCCCCGUCUUAAUAACAACUUUGUGCGUGGCACACUUAUACUUAUCCUUGGAAAGUAUUAAUAAGGGUUUGUACGGUGACACAGUAGUAACCGGUCACGUCCAUAACGAGAGAUCGACUAGAUAACGAAUCAAGAAGAACCAAAGUUAAUACAACCGGGAGGAAUUCUAACAAACCCUUACACUCCGAAAUUUCAAGGUUGGAACACGUUCCGAGGUUUCGAAAUGGUCAAAAGGUGAACGAAGUUUACUUAAACAGUAACUUCUUUGGUACUUAAGAAAAGAAAAGAAAAACUGGAUGUGUAUUGGAAAGUACCCUUCUAUCACACAGUAAAGGGGUAAUCCCAACCUCAUGAACUACAUACACAACAUAAUCACUGCACCAGCAUUGUUCUUUGGUAUUUAUAACAAAAACUAAAGGAACCUACUUCUGUAAAAAUACACUGUUGGUAUACAAAUGAUUAUGUAUCACCCCAAAGCCUUUGACCAACAAUGAAAACAAACAACUGUUGGUUAAUGACACUAAGGUCCUUGAGAAUCUAAUAUGUUCAGGGAUACAAACAAACCUAAGUACUUGGUACCCUGAUCUGAAAGUAAGCUACGGUGAUCGAGAACACUACGUGGCACAUUUGAUGGUACACUAGAGGGAGAAGAAAACACUUACGCAGGGAAAACAGUGUAGAUAGGUAGGAAAACAUGAACUAUAGAUGGCACAUACUUGUUAACAUGGAAAUUAAAUGGUACAUAUACCUGUAACGUAGGAGUUUACACAACACAACAGCAAGACAACCGAUACCUCUACACAACAUGAUGUCAAAACCAUAGGUAGAUACUACAGAACGAGGAUAAUGUACACUUAUAAAGAAGAAAGGAAAUAAGACUAUUUAGGACCGAAAGAUGAUUGAAACUGGUAAUGAACGAAGCGGUGUAGCAACCUUGGCCGUGGGAGCGCGGUUCCGCGCUACGGCUAGAGCACUCUUUUCUACAGAGGAGAUCAUCCCUCCGCGAAGACCACAGAAGUAGUUAGAGUUAUACUUCAUGGCCGAACCAGAGAGCCUCCUAAAGGCCGCCACACGUAAGCACCCUCCUCUGCAAGGGCAGCUGCUUCUCCGCGGAUGCCACUGAAGCAUUUAGAGUUCUACUAUACGACCGAGUCAGAAAGCUUCCACGAGUAUCCCCCACACGCACACACGUAAGUAUCCCCGCUUACAUACACGCACAUAUACUCGCGAACACAGACAUGACUACAAUUUUUUCCUGCGGCUAUAGGUGGUGUGCACACCAUAUAAUCUGUACGCGGGUGUGUGGUACACACCGCACUCGUCCUCCGUCGGGUGUGCCCGACACACACCCGCCUAAUCUUAACGGUUGUGCACACCCGUGUCGAUGAAGCACGGUGUGCAGGUUGUUCAUGAUGAGUAGAAGUGGGGCGCACACACCGUGCUUCGUUUUUACGGGUGAGCAGAACCGCGUCGAUACAAUUUGUGUGCGCCCUAC
rnacentral:rRNA from 1 species